ACCCACGACCAGAGGUGCCCCAACCCCGACUCCAGAGGAUGCUUCCACGGGGGUCACGGAGAUCGUGCGCAAACAAGGGCUGAAGGGGACGAGCCAGGGUCUCACCGGGCCACCCGCUUCUCGGUCAAGACCCACCCCCGCGCAGCUGGUGUGGAAAGGUCAACUUAAGGAGGCCCGGAACCCGGGGUCACCGGGCUCUCCCAGCUCUCGCGUUAACACGUCCCUGCGUCAUCGAGACCCGGAUGCGGGACGUGGGGCCGCGCAGCUUCAACCGCGUGCGAGCGUGCCUGCAGACUGUGAGCUGUGAGCGGCUUAAGGCGCUCUGCCAGGGCUCUGACCCCCGCCUGGACAGGGCCAGCCUGGACGUCGCCAUCCUGUUGGUCGUCUGUGAUGAGGUGGAAGCAGCUUAGGCCAUGACUGUCCUAAGGAGAAGAGAAUCUACCAAAGAAGAGGAUGCUGUUGGACUCAUUGUGCCUGACGAAGAACAGGAAAGGGUGAUUGCAAUGAAAAUGUUCACAACCCGGCGCCAGUGUGAGAGCAAAGCCCACACCGGUGCCUGCUGCGGCCUCAGUCCCUUCCUCGGUGACCGCCACAAAGGCCCUGUGCAGGAACUUCUUCGCCUGCAGCCCGGAGUGUGAGGACAGCCCCAGAGAGUCCGUUCUGUACUCGCUGAAAGCGUCUGCCGGCCCCCUGGCUGCCAAGACGGCCUCCAGGGCCUCCAGAUCGUACCCAUCUUCCACUUCAAACCGCGGAAUAAAGAUCUUCAAACAUCUAGUUUCAGCGCUGCGACCACUGGCCUCAGAGACACCUGCACCACCAACUGCUUGCCCGCCUCCCCAGGACAUACCUGGAAGCCGGUGAGAACUGUCCCCAGUGAAGGUUUGUGCUCUGAUGAAGUCAAUUCAGUUAUCACACAGAGGAGGGAGCAGCCGAGGCUUACCGCCUAUGAAAACUGGUAAGGACAGGUGUUGAGCAAGUAAUUCUAUGCGCUUUUUAAUUAUGACCAUGAAUCACAAUGGUUAGCCUAUAAGACAGAGUGGGGGGAAAGACACACGUUUAUGGUCAUUAACUCAAUGAAUUUUAAAUUAAAGUAAUUACCUCUAAGUCUGUUAUCGCUCUUUUAGAAUAGAACAUUCCACUGGCACAGCCUCUCUUUGUAAGUCGUCUCACAGCCUGCUAUUUUCAGGAAACCAGAGGUUACAGAGGAAGUCUUUAGAAAGCGCUGCUAGAAAGGCUUGGAUUUCUCUCUCCAUUCCUUAUUCUCCCCAAACAACUUAGAUAACCUUUCAGCACUCUGAAACUCCAUGAGUUCAUAGUUUGUAAAUGGAACACACAAAACCCAAAGGGAAUGCUUUUCACAGUUUGUCCCAACCCAUUCCCAGCAAAUGGAUUGAGGGCGACAGAACUCUACUGUCUGAGCUAAGUAUGAAGAGAAGUAAUGUGUCGCUGACAGAGGAGAAUCGGGUAUUGAAAGCUAUGUUUUCUGUGUGUCUGUUACCUACCCUGUCACGUUACAAUCCAGAGCUAUCUCGGACGACUCAC